rnacentral:misc_RNA from 1 species
AGCAGCCGCGGUAAUUCCAGCUCCAAUAGCGUAUAUUAAAGUUGUUGCAGUUAAAAAGCUCGUAGUUGAAUUUCGGGAUCAAUUAGUCGGUCGUGCCUCUGGUACGUACUGGUUUUAUUGGUUCCUCCCUUCUGACGAAACAUGAUGUCAUUAAUUUGGUGUCGUGGAGAAUCAGGACUGUUACCUUGAAAAAAUUAGAGUGUUUAUAGCAGGCUAACGCUUGAAUACAUUAGCAUGGAAUAAUGAAAUAGGACGUUCGACCCUAUUUUGUUGGUUUCUAGGAUCGACGUAAUGAUUAAUAGGGAUAGUUGGGGGCAUUAGUAUUCAAUUGUCAGAGGUGAAAUUCUUGGAUUUAUUGAAGACUAACUACUGCGAAAGCAUUUGCCAAGGAUGUUUUCAUUAAUCAAGAACGAAAGUUAGGGGAUCGAAGACGAUCAGAUACCGUCGUAGUCUUAACCAUAAACUAUGCCGACUAGGGAUCGGAUGAUGUUAAUUUUUAAUGUACUCAUUCGGCGCCUUA